GAUGAACGCUGGCGGCGUGCCUAAUACAUGCAAGUCGAGCGAACAGACGAGGAGCUUGCUCCUCUGACGUUAGCGGCGGACGGGUGAGUAACACGUGGAUAACCUACCUAUAAGACUGGGAUAACUUCGGGAAACCGGAGCUAAUACCGGAUAAUAUAUUGAACCGCAUGGUUCAAUAGUGAAAGACGGUUUUGCUGUCACUUCUAGAUGGAUCCGCGCCGCAUUAGCUAGUUGGUAAGGUAACGGCUUACCAAGGCAACGAUGCGUAGCCGACCUGAGAGGGUGAUCGGCCACACUGGAACUGAGACACGGUCCAGACUCCUACGGGAGGGAGCAGUAGGGAAUCUGCCGCAAUGGGCGAAAGCCUGACGGAGCAACGCAGCGUGAGUGAUGAAGGUCUUCGGAUCGUAAAACUCUGUUAUUAGGGAAGAACAAAUGUGUAAGUAACUAUGCACGUCUUGACGGUACCUAAUCAGAAAGCCACGGCUAACUACGUG
rnacentral:rRNA from 1 species